rnacentral:misc_RNA from 1 species
GCCAAGCAUCUCCUUUCCUUUUCCCAUUUUCUCCCUCCACUAACACUACUGUAUAUCAGCUGACUAAAGCGACACUGGCAUGCCUCUUACAAUAAUUGUACUGGGGAGGCAACAACACUAUGAAACUUCAUACAAUAAUUCUAGCCAUUCUCUGUGACGUUUGGCUAGGUGAGUGGUGGCACUUGCUUGCCCACUUUCAAUGAAUAUUCUCACUUUGCAUCUCUCUUUCACACACACUCUCUCUUUUUCUCUACAAAACUUCCUAUUCCAAUUUUCUUUGAAGAUACUUUCUUUGAACAAUUAUACAGGAUAUAAGUUUUUUUUAUCCCAUUUUCUUCUUUUGCUUGCAGUU